rnacentral:tRNA from 1 species
GGGCGAUUGGCUCAGUGGUAGAGCACCUCGUUUACACCGAGGGGGUCGGCGGUUCGAAUCCGUCAUCGCCCACCA